UGGGGAAUUUUGGACAAUGGGCGAAAGCCUGAUCCAGCCAUGCCGCGUGCAGGAUGAAGGCCUUCGGGUUGUAAACUGCUUUUGUACGGAACGAAAAGACUCUGGUUAAUACCUGGGGUCCAUGACGGUACCGUAAGAAUAAGCACCGGCUAACUACGUGCCAGCAGCCGCGGUAAUACGUAGGGUGCAAGCGUUAAUCGGAAUUACUGGGCGUAAAGCGUGCGCAGGCGGUUAUAUAAGACAGAUGUGAAAUCCCCGGGCUCAACCUGGGAACUGCAUUUGUGACUGUAUAGCUAGAGUACGGCAGAGGGGGAUGGAAUUCCGCGUGUAGCAGUGAAAUGCGUAGAUAUGCGGAGGAACACCGAUGGCGAAGGCAAUCCCCUGGGCCUGUACUGACGCUCAUGCACGAAAGCGUGGGGAGCAAACAGGAUUAGAUACCCUGGUAGUCCACGCCCUAAACGAUGUCAACUGGUUGUUGGGUCUUCACUGACUCAGUAACGAAGCUAACGCGUGAAGUUGACCGCCUGGGGGAGUA
rnacentral:rRNA from 1 species